UGAUGAACUCUGGGUCCUGCGCGGCAGAACACUAUGAACUCCGUCAGGUCCGGGAGGACGCAGCGGUAAAUAGCAGUUUCUGGGUGCCGUGGGAACACCUGGAGGGAGCUGAUGCCAGGAUUGCGCCGGCAGGAGCAGAUCGACGGCAGGUGCACGG
rnacentral:SRP_RNA from 1 species